rnacentral:lncRNA from 1 species
UUUCUCUGCAAUUUAGUUACACGUGCUGGCAAAUCCCUUAGUAGCUUAAAGUGCCACGUUUCAUGGAAUCUAAUGUGACAGCCACUAGUAUGAGAUAAGGCUCACCACCAAUUGCUGGGCCAGUUACCUCACAAUGGAUUGCAAGGCACGAGUUUAUGACAUGGGCAUGGGGGGAGCCCAGCUGUCCUUGGAGAGAGGAAGGUGGCAGUCCAAACUGGGCAGUUUCUCACAGAACAAUUCCAGGUGUUUCAUGUGCUCUUCCUCCCCACUUCAGAAGUACACUGUGGACACAAAAGUGACAGAAAGUCAACUGAGAAGGCCGAUGACAGAAGAGUGGAUUGGAAUUAAGAGAGCAUUGGCAAACAACGCGCAGACACGGCUGAUCUUCCUUUCACCGCCUCCUUUUUUCUCCAUACUCUGUCCCCACUCACUAGACAUGUUCUGGCUCCUUUGGCGCUGCAGGGAGCAAGGGGAUGUCACACGGGGAGAAGCAGUGAAGACCAGGAGGCCCUGUGGCCUCUGAAGUCCACAAAAUGAAUGACUGCAUCUCACUGCCCCUGCAGGCUGCACCCUACCUCCUCUGAGCCAGCUGUCACAGCGCUGUGUUAGCAGAUAACCUGGAGUGUGCGCCUUGCUGGCACGACUAACGUUUUCUGGCUGUGUGCCCAGGGACGGACUAUUAUCAGCUGGUAUAGACAACCUGAUUACUUCCAUAUUUUGCCUUUUCUUCUUUUAUUUUGGCUUAUCCUUUGAAUAUUUUUUGAGCUCUAGUCUAGUCAAAACACUCUAGCCAAUCCCAACCUCAGAAUGCGCAAGACCCAACAUCAACAAUUUAGAAGAGAACUGUAAGUCAACCAGCAGAAUCCAUCUUUCUGUCAGCCACUUCUCUGGAAAUCUUCCAAUGUGCAGUUUUGGUUAGUGACCAGAUUAAGAAACUCCGUGGCCACCCCCAAGGGGCUCCAUCAGGCACCACAUUUAAUGAACCUCCAUUAUUAGGUUCCCACAAGUGGAAUUUGUUGGUCAAGUUGCAUAAUACUCAUCGGGCACUGUGUUAGUUAGGAUAGGAAUUGCUGGCUGCUAUAAUAAUCUCCAGAUCACAGUGGCUUAACCCAAUAGAAGUGUCUAUCUUAUCACAUAAAUGUUAAUCAGGAGUCUUAGCAAGGCUACCUUCCAGGUGGGGGAUUCAGGGGUCCAGAUUCCUUCCAUCUUGCUGCACCACCUCUGUCCCUGGGCCCACAGUCAGAAGACGUUAGUCCUAACAGCAAGGUGCACACUCCAGGUUCUCUCUAACACAGAGCUGUGACAGUGGCUCAGUGUGAGGAAAGAGAAUAUGGAAUUCUGCAGGGUUGGCCCUGGAAGUGCAUCC